GACGAACGCUGGCGGCGUGCUUAACACAUGCAAGUCGAACGGUGAAGCGCCUUCCUUUUUGGUGGGUGUGGAUGAGUGGCGAACGGGUGAGUAACACGUGAGUAACCUGCCCCCUUCUUCUGGAUAACCGCAUGAAAGUGUGGCUAAUACGGGAUAUUCUGGGUCUGUCGCAUGAUGGGUUGGGGAAAGUUAUGGUUUCGGGGGGGGAUGGGCUCGCGGCCUAUCAGCUUGUUGGUGGGGUGAUGGCCUACCAAGGCGGUGACGGGUAGCCGGCCUGAGAGGGUGGACGGUCACACUGGGACUGAGACACGGCCCAGACUCCUACGGGAGGCAGCAGUGGGGAAUAUUGCACAAUGGGCGCAAGCCUGAUGCAGCGACGCCGCGUGAGGGAUGGAGGCCUGCGGGUUGUGAACCUCUUUCGCCAGUGAAGCAGGCCUGCCUCGUUUGUGGGUGGGUUGACGGUAGCUGGAUAAGAAGCGCCGGCUAACUACGUG
rnacentral:rRNA from 1 species